rnacentral:rRNA from 1 species
UCUAAGAACAUAUGUAUCUAACAUGAAUCUGCGAACGGCUCAUUAAAACAGUUGGAAUUUGCUCGAACUUGAUUCCUAAACGGAUAUCUGCGAUAAAUUUGGAGCUAAUACGUGCACCAUGUCCUUGCUCUUCGAGCAGGGGGCACUUAUUUACCGAAGAUUAAACGGGCCUCGGUCCGCUUUGGUGACUCUGAAUAAUUUCGCUGACCGCACGGUUUUACACCGGCGGCGUUUCGAUCGACCGACUGACCUAUCAACUAUCGUUGGAAGUCCAUGUGGCUACCAAGGUGGUGACGGGUAACGGAGAAUAAGGGUUCGACUCCGGAGAGGGAGCCUGAGAAACGGCUACCACAUCCAAGGAAGGCAGCAGGCGCGUAAAUUACCCACUCUCAAUGCGAGGAGGUAGUGACUAUCAAUAACGAGACAGAUCUCUAUGAGGCCUGUUAUCGGAAUGGGUACAAUGUAAACCCUUUAACGAGGAUCUAUGAGAGGGCAAGUCUGGUGCCAGCAGCCGCGGUAAUUCCAGCUCUCAAUGUGUAUAUCGUCAUUGCUGCGGUUAAAAAGCUCGUAGUUGGAUCUGAGACGGCGGAGGUGGUGCUCUUCGAGUAACUGCCGUUCGCGUCUGAAUGUCGGUUUGGCGUAGCCUUCGGGUUGCGUUGACUGGCGUGAUUACCUUGAAUAAAUUAAAGUGCUCAAAACAGGCGUUACGCUUGUAUAUCCGAUCAUGGAAUAAUGGAAUAUGACUUCGGUUUGUUCUGUUGGUCUUAGAACCGAAAUAAUGGUUAACCGGGAUUGCCGGGGGCAUACGUAUCGUUGCGAUAGAGGUGAAAUUCUUGGACCGCAGCGAGACGCCCAAUUGCGAAAGCAUUUGCCAAGAAUGUCUUCAUUAAUCAAGAACGAAAGUCAGAGGAUCGAAGGCGAUUAGAUACCGCCCUAGUUCUGACCGUAAACUAUACCAACUAGCGAUCAGGUGUCGAUAGAUUAGUCGCGCUUGGGAGCUUCUCGGAAACGAAAGUCUUCGGGUUCCGGGGGUAGUAUGGUUGCAAAACUGAAACUUAAAGGAAUUGACGGAAGGGCACCACCAGGAGUGGAGCCUGCGGCUUAAUUUGACUCAACACGGGAAAACUCACCCGGCCCGGACACUGUGAUGAUUGACAGAUUGAAAGUUCUUUCUCGAUUCGGUGGUUGGUGGUGCAUGGCCGUUCUUAGUUGGUGGAUUGAUUUGUCUGGUUUAUUCCGAUAACGAACGAGACUCUAACCUGCUAAAUAGACUUCUGGUAGCUUGGCCAGUUGACUUCUUAGAGGGAUAAGUGGUGUUCAGCCACAUGAAAGUGAGCAAUAACAGGUCUGUGAUGCCCUUAGAUGUUCGGGGCUGCACGCGCGCUACACUGGUUGUAUCAGUAUGCUUCUAUCUUGGUCGAAAGGCCUUGGCAAACCUCUGAAAAACAGCCAUGAUUGGGAUAGGGAAUUGCAAUUAUUUCCCUUCAACGAGGAAUUCCCAGUAAGUAUGAGUCAUCAGCUCAUUCUGAUUACGUCCCUGCCCUUUGUACACACCGCCCGUCGCUGCCCGGGACUGAGUUGCUUCGAGAAGUGUGGGGACUGUUGUUGCGGGGCUUGUCUCUGUAGCGAUGGAAACCAUAUUAAUCGCAGUGGCUU